rnacentral:rRNA from 1 species
AGAGAGAGACAUGCGCGCAUAUCAAUAAGCGGAGGAAAAGAAACUAACAAGGAUUCCCUUAGUAACGGCGAGUGAAGCGGGAAGAGCUCAAAUUUGAAAUCUUCAAGGUUCUACCUUGACGAAUUGUAGUUUAUAGAAGUGUUUUCUGUAGUGGAGUUCGGUAAAAGUUCUUUGGAAUAGGACAUCAUAGAGGGUGAGAAUCCCGUAUUUGGUCAUUCCUCCUAGCGUUGUGAUACACUUUCAACGAGUCGGAUUGUUUGGGAAUGCAGUCCAAAAUGGGUGGUAAAUUUCAUCUAAAGCUAAAUAUUGGCGAGAGACCGAUAGCGAACAAGUACCGUGAGGGAAAGAUGAAAAGAACUUUGAAAAGAGAGUUAAACAGUACGUGAAAUUGUCAAAAGGGAAGCGUUUGACACCAGUGUUGUUUUUCCGAAAAUCAAUUACGAAUGUUUUAUUUUUGAGGAGUUAAUGACUUCAUCGGCUUGCUCCUUUCUUUACGAAACUUUCUUAAUGCACUUUUCGGUUAACAAGUCAACAUCAAUUUCUUUUGUUGUAAAAGGGUAUGAGGAAGGUGGCUUUCUUUUCGGAGAAAGUGUUUAUAGCCUUGUAGCCUCUGCAAUCGGAGAGAUUGAGGUCUGCAGCGUAGAUCCUUCGGGGUUAGAUACAGUUUGUGCUAAGUUAUAGCUUUUCAUAGACGACUUGUUGACUAUGUUUAGUCUUGUAGCUUACUCGCUGAUGCUAUUUUACCUACGCUUAGGAUGUUGAUAGUCACAGCGUGUAC